UACGAAGGGGGCUAGCGUUGCUCGGAAUGACUGGGCGUAAAGGGCGCGUAGGCGGAGUGCUUUGUCGGGCGUGAAAUUCCAGGGCUCAACCUUGGGGCUGCGUUCGAGACGGGCAUUCUAGAGUGGAGAAGAGGGUCGUGGAAUUCCCAGUGUAGAGGUGAAAUUCGUAGAUAUUGGGAAGAACACCGGUGGCGAAGGCGGCUCACUGGCUCGUAACUGACGCUCAUGCACGACAGCGUGGGGAUCAAACAGG
rnacentral:rRNA from 1 species